UACAGAGGGGGCAAGCGUUGUUCGGAAUUACUGGGCGUAAAGGGCGCGUAGGCGGCCUGUUAAGUCGAACGUGAAAUCCCCGGGCUCAACCCGGGAACUGCGUCCGAUACUGGCAGGCUUGAAUUCGGGAGAGGGAUGCGGAAUUCCAGGUGUAGCGGUGAAAUGCGUAGAUAUCUGGAGGAACACCGGUGGCGAAGGCGGCAUCCUGGACCGGUAUUGACGCUGAGGCGCGAAAGCGUGGGGAGCGAACGGG
rnacentral:rRNA from 1 species